rnacentral:rRNA from 1 species
AUGGCUAUUUAUCUUGCCUUGUCGAUGGGAGUGCUGCUGCUGCUGGUCCUCACACCGGCGGCCAGCGGCAUCUACUUCACCAGCGAGGAGCUUUCGUCGGAGGAGUCGAUGCGUGCCUUGUACAAUCGAUGGUGCGCCAAGUACCCGGAGGGGCGCGGCUGCAGCCUCGACAACAAGGCCGCGCGAUUCGAGAUCUUCAAGGCGCACGCGGCAAAAAUCGAGAAAUUGAACAAAGGUGCCGUCCACAGCCGGCCACACCUCAACCAAUUCUCGGAUCUAACCAAAGAGGAGUUCAUCAGCAGCUUUGCAUCCUGCUACGCCAGCGGUGGAGAGCACCACCAAGGGAACGAGAUCAUCUCCAGCGACAAGUUUGCCUUCACCAACAACGACAUCCCCAGCCACAUCGACUGGCGCGAGAAGGGCGCCGUGACAGAUGUCAGGUCCCAAGGAGAUGUAUGCGGAUCAUGCUGGGCUUUUGCGGCGGCAGGGGCAGUGGAGGGCAUCAACAUGAUCAAGAACAACGAGCUGGUGCCCCUGUCCGUGCAGGAGCUGGUGGACUGCAGCACAACAAAGGGCUGCAAAAGUGGCAACGCUUGGCGGGCGUUCGAGUACAUCAUCGACAAUGAUGGGAUUUCCUCAUGGGAGAGUAACCCAUAUCAGGGCAGGGUGGGAACGGUGUGGAAUUGUCACGAUGCAAACAAAAUCGUGGCUAUUGGGGGUUAUGAGCUGGUUCCCCCAAACAAUGAAACCGCCCUAAUGCAGGCUGUGGCAUCUCAACCAGUGGUGGUGGGGGUUGAUAGCAGCGGGUGGAAAGAACUACGAGAUUUAAAGGAAAUCUUCACAGGGCCAUGCAAGAGCAACAUCUCCCACCAGGUAUUGGUGGUCGGAUACGGGACGGAGGAGAGGUACAGUGAUGGAAGGCUGAUCAAGAGCACUAACUACUGGUUAAUCAAGAAUUCCUGGGGCAGCGGGUGGGGGGACGGGGGAUACAUUCGCCUCGAGCGGGGAUAUGAAAAAGAAGGAGGGAAAUGUGGCAUUCUAAAGGAUCCGAUGUACCCAGUGGAUCCUGUCAUGCUUGAGUUUUAG